rnacentral:rRNA from 1 species
CACGUAGGGCGCAAGCGUUGUCCGGAAUUAUUGGGCGUAAAGAGCUCGUAGGCGGCCUGUUGCGUCCGCUGUGAAAGCCCGGGGCUUAACCCCGGGUCUGCAGUGGAUACGGGCAGGCUAGAGGUAGGUAGGGGAGAAUGGAAUUCCCGGUGUAGCGGUGAAAUGCGCAGAUAUCGGGAGGAACACCGGUGGCGAAGGCGGUUCUCUGGGCCUUACCUGACGCUGAGGAGCGAAAGCGUGGGGAGCGAACAGG